UGAAUACGAGACGCUAAGGCGUCGAAGUAGUGUAUGUCAUACUUCCAAGAAAAGCUUGCACUGUCAUAGAUAAAAAACGCCUGUACCAUAACCGACACAGGUGGGUAGGUAGUAUACUAAGGGGCGCGAGAUAACUCUCUCUAAGGAACUCGGCAAAAUAACUCCGUAACUUCGGGAGAAGGAGUGCCUUAUUCGUAAGGUUGCAAUAACAAGAUCCAAGCAACUGUUUAUCAAAAACACAGGUCUCCGCUAAGUCGUAAGACGAUGUAUGGGGGCUGACGCCUGCCCAGUGCCAGAAGGUUAAAGAAGUUGGUUAGCAAUUGCGAAGCUGAUAACUGAAGCCCUGGUGAACGGCGGCCGUAACUAUAACGGUCCUAAGGUAGCGAAAUUCCUUGUCGGGUAAGUUCCGACCCGCACGAAAGGCGUAAUGAUUUGGAUACUGUCUCGGAGAGGGGCUCGGUGAAAUAGACUUGUCUGUGAAGAUGCGGACUACCUGCACCAGGACAGAAAGACCCUAUGAAGCUUUACUGUAACUUGAAAUUGAAAUUGGACUUUAUUCGCGCAGUAUAGGUGGGAGGCGUUGAUUAUAAUCUUGUGGGAUUAUUGGAGCCAUCAGUGAGAUACCACUCUUGUAAUGUUAGAUUUCUAACUUUGAAUCAUUAUCUGGUCAAAGAACAGUUUCAGGCGGGCAGUUUGACUGGGGCGGUCGCCUCCUAAACGGUAACGGAGGCGUACAAAGGUUUCCUCUGAACGGUUAGAAAUCGUAUCUAGAGUGUAAAGGCAUAAGGAAGCUUGACUGUGAGACCUACAAGUCGAGCAGGGACGAAAGUCGGUCUUAGUGAUCUGACGGUACUGAGUGGAAAGGCCGUCACUCAACGGAUAAAAGUUACUCUAAGGAUAACAGGCUGAUCUCCCCCAAGAGUUCACAUCGACGGGGAGGUUUGGCACCUCGAUGUCGGCUCAUCGCAUCCUGGGGCGGUAGUACGUCCCAAGGGUUGGGCUGUUCGCCCAUGAAAGCGGUACGCGAGCUGGGUUCAGAACGUCGUGAGACAGUUCGGUCCAUAUCCGGUGUAGGCGUUAGAAUAUUGAGAGGAGCCUUCUUUAGUACGAGAGGACCGAGAAGGACAUACCUCUGGUGUACCAGUUAUCGUGCCAACGGUAAACGCUGGGUAGCUAUGUAUGGAGUGGAUAACCGCUGAAAGCAUCUAAGUGGGAAGCCCACCUCAAGAUAAGUAUUCUCAU
rnacentral:rRNA from 1 species